rnacentral:misc_RNA from 1 species
GAUGAAGAACGUAGCGAAAUGCGAUAAGUAAUGUGAAUUGCAGAAUUCAGUGAAUCAUCGAAUCUUUGAACGCACAUUGCGCCCGCCAGCACUCUGGCGGGCAUGCCUGUUCGAGCGUCAUUUCAACCAUCAAGCCCCCAGGGGCUUGUGCUGGGGCCCUGCGGCUGCCCGCAGGCCCUGAAAACCAGUGGCGGGCUCGCUAGUCACACCGAGCGCAGUAGCACAUCUCGCUCAGGGCGUGCGGCGGGCUCCUGCCGUGAAACCCCCCACUGUAACCCCAAAGGUUGACCUCGGAUCAGGUAGGAAUACCCGCUGAACUUGAGCAUAUCAAUAAGCGGAGGA